rnacentral:rRNA from 1 species
UACGUAGGAUGCAAGCGUUGUCCGGAAUUAUUGGCGUAAAGAGCGCGCAGGCGGUAUGACAAGUCAGAUGUGAAAGAGGCCGGCUUAACCGGCAAGGGUCAUUUGAAACUGUCAGACUAGAGUGCAGCAGAGGAUAGUGGAAUUCCCGGAUGUAGUGGUGAAAUGCGUAGAUAGUCGGGAGGAACACCAGUGGCGAAGGCGACUAUCUGGGCUGCAACUGACGCUGAGGCGACGAAGGCUAGGGGAGCAAACGGGA